GGGACAGCCCCUUCCGUGUCUCCCGGGGACCGCGCUUGUGAGAGGUGGGCAGAUGCGGUGUGGCCGCUGACCUUGGGUGGCCUCCCGGAGUCCCUGUUUCCUCAUCUAUCACACGGGAACAGUAAUCUGGACCUCACAGCAUUGUUGUGAGAGACAGAGGAUUUGCAAUAUAACAUCUAAUGCCUGCAACAAACUGGAUAAUUGCCUUGAGCAAAUAUUAGGAUAAAGAACUCCAUGAUAACAAACCACAACGCAUAUUCACAAUGGGCCUUGGAAAGUGUUCCAGGAAUGGACUUUCUGCAGUAUGAUGACCUGCAAAAGCACCCUUUCCAUUUAUGCUUCAAACUCCAAGUCAGCCGUGUCAAAGUUUGCACUAGGGCUGUGGAGGAUAAUGGGUCAGAUGCAAUUAGCAGCCGAGAGAGCUGCACAUUGCACUCUGAUUUAUUUUUUUGCCCAUCAGAUUCCAAGAAUCCUAGUGCUUAAAAGCAACUAAACAAUCACUCUAUUGUACUGAAAUAAAGCCCAGUUAAUUCAAAAAUCAAUUGCACCACCAGGUGGGGCACACUCUGGCCCCAAACAGAUGGGGUCGAAGCCCCUCCAUCCCCCAACGAAGUCUUGUUAAAUUAAAAACUUGAUCCAGAAGUGGAACAAAUAGGGAGCCAUGAAUGGAAUGGAGUCAGGUCCACUCAGGCGAAUUCUUUCUUCUCUCAGGCUUUUCCCUUCCUUUCAAAGUGAAAAAUUUACCAUUCCACUUUCUCCAGUGUUAACAUCUCUGCAGAAACGCAGCCAUCCACCCUUUGCAGUUCAAUAUGUUACUUUAAUUAGUCUGAAAAUUAAAGGGCAACUCUGGGCCAAUGUGAAUGAUUAUGAAAAUACAUGUGCAUCCCAUGCAAUCCUCUCAUUUAAUUAAUAGUCUUGUAAACUAUAUGGCACACUUGAAGUCAGUUGAGAGGUAUAACAACUCCAUUUUAAUAUCCACUUAAUAUUUAACAGAAUGUGAGGAACACGCUGAAGCAUACAGUCCCUUCUCAAGUUUCACUGUCUGAAAAUUUUCAAAGCUGACCCAAGUCAACCCGAAAAAUGUUUAACACCCUGGGCUUGAACACAAGAAACUCUGUGAUGAACAGACAUUCAAUUACAUUUUUUAAAAGUGAGAAGCAUUUUUGUAAAAUAGCUGCUCUGGAAACUAAUUGGCAGACAGGAAACUAGUGAGUGAAGGCCAAAUCUUGUGGGGAACUUUUACUACAGUAACAGGACUCAAAGAAAAUGUGAAUAAAAGGCAUCUUUGUUUCCCAGUCAAAUUAGCUGAUUAAGAAAUAAAACAUCUUAACGUGUUUUUAAAUGUAGAAUUAAUUAUUUAUACGAGAAAAAUUAA